rnacentral:rRNA from 1 species
GACGAACGCUGGCGGCGUGCUUAACACAUGCAAGUCGAACGGAAAGGCCCUGCUUUUGUUGGUUGCUCGAGUGGCGAACGGGUGAGUAACACGUGUGUAACCUGCCCUUGUCUUUGGGAUAACUUCACGGAACUGGGGCUAAUACCGGAUAUGAGCUCCUGCUGCGUGGUGGGGGUUGGAAAGUUUCGGCGGUUGGGGAUGGACUCGCGGCUUAUCAGCUUGUUGGUGGGGUAGGUGCUUACCAAGGCUUUGACGGGUAGCCGGCCUGAGAGGGUGACCGGCCACAUUGGGACUGAGAUAGGGACCAGACUCCUACGGGAGGCAGCAGUGGGGAAUAUUGCACAAUGGUCGGAAGCCUGAUGCAGCAACGCCGCGUGCGGGAUGACGGCCUUCGGGUUGUAAACCGCUUUCGCCUGUGACGAAGCGUGAGUGACGGUAAUGGGUAAAGAAGCACCGGCUAACUACGUG